rnacentral:rRNA from 1 species
AUACGUAGGGUGCGAGCGUUGUCCGGAAUUACUGGGCGUAAAGAGCUCGUAGGUGGUUUGUCGCGUCGUCUGUGAAAUUCCGGGGCUUAACUCCGGGCGUGCAGGCGGUACGGGCAUAACUUGAGUACUGUAGGGGAGACUGGAAUUCCUGGUGUAGCGGUGAAAUGCGCAGAUAUCAGGAGGAACACCGGUGGCGAAGGCUGGUCUAUGUGAAUAAACUGACCCGAAGAGGCAAAUGCUUGGUGUGCGAACAGGAUUAAAUCCCCCUUUAGUCCAUGCCGUAAACGGUGGGCGCUAUUUGUAGGGGUCUUCCACGACUUCUGUGCCGUAGCUAACGCAUAAAGAGCCCCGCCGGGGGAGUACGGCCGCAAGGCUAAAACUCAAAGGACUUGACGGGG